UACGAAGGGGGCUAGCGUUGCUCGGAAUCACUGGGCGUAAAGCGCACGUAGGCGGAUUGUUAAGUCAGGGGUGAAAUCCUGGAGCUCAACUCCAGAACUGCCUUUGAUACUGAGGAUCUUGAGUACGGGAGAGGUGAGUGGAACUGCGAGUGUAGAGGUGAAAUUCGUAGAUAUUCGCAAAGAACACCAGUGGCGAAGGCGGCUCAUCGU
rnacentral:rRNA from 1 species